CUGAUGUGGUAAAGCUACUGAUGUCAGAUCCAUCUGUCACCAGCUCUUAAGGCCUGUUAAAAUGCUGCUUAGGAAACUAUCCCAUUUGCUCGGUUUUAUUUACUAUCAUUAAGUUUUUAAAAAAUAGAUGUUAUAUUCACCUAGCUCAAAAUCCAACAAUAUGAGGUAUGCAGUGAAAAUAGUUGCUCUAAUCCCCUGCCCAACACCUGUCAAUUGUCACACCAC
rnacentral:lncRNA from 1 species